UACGUAGGGACCGAGCGUUGUCCGGAUUCAUUGGGCGUAAAGAGCUCGUAGGCGGCCACUCAAGUCGAAUGUGAAACCUCGAGGCUUAACCUCGAGCCUGCAUUCGAUACUGGGCGGCUAGAGUCUGGUAGGGGGAUCUGGAAUUCCUGGUGUAGCGGUGGAAUGCGCAGAUAUCAGGAGGAACGCCGAUGGCGAAGGCAGGUCUCUGGGCCGAUACUGACGCUGAGGAGCGAAAGCGUGGGGAGCGAACAGG
rnacentral:rRNA from 1 species